rnacentral:rRNA from 1 species
AACCUGCCGCGUCGUGGGGGAUACCAGUCGGAAACGGCUGCUAAUACCGCAUACGGUCAGCCCAGAGAUGGGCUGAAGAAAGCAGCGAUGCGCGACGUGAGGGGCCUGCGGCCGAUUAGCUGGUUGGUGUGGUAACGGCGCACCAAGGCGACGAUCGGUAGCUGGUCUGAGAGGAUGGUCAGCCACACUGGGACUGAGACACGGCCCAG